AUGAAGCUGAUCGCUGCCUACCUCCUCGCCUAUCUGGGUGGGAACUCUUCCCCAAGUGCCGCUGACGUCAAGAACAUCCUGGACUCAGUUGGUGCCGAGGCUGAUGAAGAAAAGCUUGAGUUCCUUCUGGCUGAACUCAAAGGCAAGGACAUCACAGAAGUGAUUGCAUCUGGAAGGGAGAAGUUUGCCGCUGUGCCUUCAGGUGGGGGUGCCAUUGCUGUGGGAGCUCCAGCUGCUGCAUCUGGUGGUGCCGCCGCACCUGCUGCUGAGUCAAAGGAGGAGAAGGUUGAAGAGAAGGAAGAAUCUGAUGAAGACAUGGGUUUCAGUCUGUUCGACUAA
rnacentral:rRNA from 1 species